rnacentral:rRNA from 1 species
GACGAACGCUGGCGGCGUGCUUAACACAUGCAAGUCGAACGAAGUGGCGCACGGGUGAGUAACGCGUAAUCAACCUGCCCUUCAGAGGGGGAUACCAGUUGGAAACGACUGCUAAUCCCGCAUACUGAAGGAGGGGAUUGCGUCUGAUUAGCUAGUUGGAGGGGUAACGGCCCACCAAGGCGAUGGUCAGUAGCCGGUCUGAGAGGAUGAACGGCCACAAUGGGACUGAGACACGGCCCAGAAUCCUAAGGGAGGGAGCAGUGGGGAAUCUUCCGAAAUGGACGAAAGUCUGACGAAGCAACGCCGCGGGAGUGAUGACGGCCUUCGGGUGGUAAAGCUCUGUUAAUCGGGACGCGGUACCGGAAUAGAAAGCCACGGCUAACUACGUGCCAGCAGCCGCGGUAAUUC